rnacentral:rRNA from 1 species
GACGAACGCUGGCGGCGUGCUUAACACAUGCAAGUCGAGCGGUAAGGCCCUUUCGGGGGUACACGAGCGGCGAACGGGUGAGUAACACGUGGGUGACCUGCCCUCAGCUCUGGGAUAAGCCUGGGAAACCGGGUCUAAUACUGGAUAUGACUCCAUGACGCAUGUUGUGGGGUGGAAAGCCUUGUGCGGCUGAGGAUGGGCCCGCGGCCUAUCAGCUUGUUGGUGGGGUGAUGGCCUACCAAGGCGACGACGGGUAGCCGGCCUGAGAGGGCGACCGGCCACACUGGGACUGAGACACGGCCCAGACUCCUACGGGAGGCAGCAGUGGGGAAUCUUGCGCAAUGGGCGAAAGCCUGACGCAGCGACGCCGCGUGUGUGAAGAAGGCCU